GAUGAACGCUAGCGAUAGGCUUAACACAUGCAAGUCGAGGCGCAGCACAAGGUAGCUUGCUAUCUGGGUGGCGACCGGCGCACGGGUGCGUAACGCGUAUGCAACUUGCCCUAUACAGGAGGAUAACCCGUCGAAAGACGGACUAAUACUGCGUAUGCUCACAACUUGGCAUCAAGUGGUGAGGAAAGAAAUUCGGUAUAGGAUAGGCAUGCGUCCCAUUAGCUUGUUGGUGAGGUAACGGCUCACCAAGGCAACGAUGGGUAGGGGAACUGAGAGGUUUAUCCCCCACACUGGUACUGAGACACGGACCAGACUCCUACGGGAGGCAGCAGUGAGGAAUAUUGGUCAAUGGGCGCGAGCCUGAACCAGCCAAGUCGCGUGAAGGAUGACUGUCUUAUGGAUUGUAAACUUCUUUUAUACGGGAAUAACAAGAGUCACGUGUGACUCCCUGCAUGUACCGUAUGAAUAAGCAUCGGCUAACUCCGUG
rnacentral:rRNA from 1 species